CUACAUCUUUUAAAGUCAUCUUUUUUUCUACCACUGUACUGAUCUUUCGAGCGUGAAAGAUCUUUCUACAAUGCGGUCUGCACAGUGAAUCAGUGGGAUAAGGAAAGAAAAGACUAAAUUCCCCUCUUCUCAAAGGCAAAUGCUAAAUAAAAUCCUGCUGCUUCUUUUUCCUGUCCACCAAUUCCACGGUGUCCUUCAUUAUCAACGACUUUCAUUCGAUCCAUUAGGGGUCCAUACGUUUCAGAGUUUUUCUCUUCAUUUAAGAUGUCCAAAAAAGGUUUUACCCAUAUUAAUUCAAGAUUGUAUCCUUCGGCAACAGCACGAAAGGCUUCAAAAGGAACUACAUAUUCAGGAACAUCGGUAACAGCAUCCUCUAAAUAAAAAUAAUAUUGAAUUCCAUACGGAGGUCGAAAAGAGCGUGGAGGUGAUUCAGGAAAUCUGACUUUGUAUAUGUCAUUUCCCCAUUCUUUUUCUCCUGGUUUAAGCAUUUUAAUAUGUUUGACAAUUACAUCGGAAUUGGGAAUCGUUCCUAUCAUUACUCCACCACGAGGAAGGCAUUUAGAAACGUUCCCCAACAAGACCCUAACCUUUUCUUCGCUUUCAAAUGCAUAAUGCAUGCAAAACUGUAGAGAAACAACGUCAAAUUUUCUUUGGUCUGGGGGAAGUAAUUCGUUAAUUGAGCUAGAAAAACAGUCGCCAGCGUAGAAUAGUGCAUCAAAAGAAGCAUGCAUUUCACGGUAUCUCUUCUUGGCCUGAUUUACGGAAACUUCAGCUAUGUCAAUCCCAAUAUAUCCAUCAAUGCCAGCUUUGUCCCAUUUAAUUAAAUCACCACCUUUUCCACAUCCCAUGUCUAGUACCAAAAUAGGAUAAUCAGAAGCAUGGGGUGCGAAUUUUUGUAUGAGAACAGAUUUGAUCCAGUUGUUAAACCUCUUUAGUUGAAUAAUAGGAGAAAAUUGUCGUUUUUUAUAACCCAAAUCAGGACGCGCGUUAUAGUGUGAACGUACCACAUCCUGCGCAUUACCAUUGUUUUCAUGCCUAUUAUAACCUCUGCGACCAGAGUUGUCAUUGUUUUGGAAGUAAUCGCGACGCCUUGGUUGUUGUUCAAUUACUCGAUUCAUUUGUGCAGUAGGUCUCGCAUAUCUGCGAUUUUCUGUUGGAGGCUGUUCCUCAUGCACUCGGGAGUUCGAGCUGCUCAUAUCUCUUA